rnacentral:rRNA from 1 species
UACGUAGGGUGCAAGCGUUUAAUCGGAAUUACUGGGCGUAAAGCGUGCGCAGGCGGUUCUAUAAGACAGAUGUGAAAUCCCCGGGCUCAACCUGGGAACUGCAUUUGUGACUGUAGAGCUGGAGUGCGGCAGAGGGGGGAUGGAAUUCCGCGUGUAGCAGUGAAAUGCGUAGAUAUGCGGAGGAACACCGAUGGCGAAGGCAGCCUUCUGGGCCAACACUGACGCUCAUGCACGAAAGCGUGGGGAGCAAACAGG